UACAGAGGUCUCAAGCGUUGUUCGGAUUCAUUGGGCGUAAAGGGUGCGUAGGCGGCGCGGUAAGUCGGGUGUGAAAUCUCGGAGCUUAACUCCGAAACUGCAUUCGAUACUGCCGUGCUUGAGGACUGGAGAGGAGACUGGAAUUUACGGUGUAGCGGUGAAAUUCGUAGAUAUUGGGAAGAACACCGGUGGCGAAGGCGGCGACCUGGUCCAUUACUGACGCUGAGGCGCGACAGCGUGGGGAGCAAACAGG
rnacentral:rRNA from 1 species